rnacentral:snRNA from 1 species
GUGCUCACUUAGGCAACACAUACACUAAAAUUAGAACAAUACAUAGAAGAUUAGCAUGACCCCUGUGCAAAGAUGACACACAUUUGUGAAGCAUUCCAUAUUUUU